GGGGCUGUUCUGGUUUUGACAGCAUUGACGACGAAAGGUAAGCACGCCGGGCGUAGGCAGCUGGCCCGUUAAUCCCAGAUGUCAAAAAAUUAGUAGGCAACUACAACUAUUCAUACGCUUGCUAAUCUCCAAGAGAUCUAGCAUUAACCGUAUCCGCCAAGGCUGCGGAUCGGCGUAUAUCCCUCCGGCAUUAAGCCGCCUCUGUCCGGAUCAAGGGGUAUCAUUCAAGGCGGAUGCUUGCGACCGCCGCCUCCACGUCGCACUAAGAUUCAGAGGAUAAGCUUCGGCUAAGGGUGCCUUCCCUCGUACCGCGGCCCACAAUUAAAGGAAGGAUAAGCGUGUAGAAAGCCUCUUGGCGCUUUGUUUGGACGCGGGUUCGACUCCCGCCAGCUCCACGA
rnacentral:tmRNA from 1 species